UGGGGAAUCUUGCGCAAUGGGGGAAACCCUGACGCAGCAACGCCGCGUGGGUGAUGAAGGUCUUCGGAUCGUAAAGCCCUGUCGGAGGGGAAGAUGCUUGUGCAUGUUAACAGUAUGCAUAGGUGACGGUACCCUCAAAGGAAGCACCGGCUAACUCUGUGCCAGCAGCCGCGGUAAUACAGAGGGUGCAAGCGUUGUUCGGAAUUAUUGGGCGUAAAGGGAGUGUAGGCGGUUAGUUAAGUCUUCUGUGAAAUCUACGGGCUUAGCCUGUAACGUGCAGAGGAAACUGGCUGACUUGAGUAUCGGAGAGGGCAGGGGAAUACCCAGUGUAGAGGUGAAAUUCGUAGAGAUUGGGUGGAACACCAGUGGCGAAGGCGCCUGCCUGGCUGAUUACUGACGCUGAGACUCGAAAGCAUGGGGAGCAAACAG
rnacentral:rRNA from 1 species